rnacentral:rRNA from 1 species
AAAAUCGUGGUGCCUUGCACCUCGAAUUGUAAUCUGGAGAAGUGUCCUCUGCAACGGACCAGACCCAAGUUCACUGGAAAGUGGCGUCAGAGAGGGUGAAAGCCCCGUCGAGUCUGGAUGCUGUUGCAAAACGAGGCACUGUCUGCGAGUCGAGCUGUUUGGGAAUGCAGCUCUAAGUGGGUGGUAAAUUCCAUCCAAGGCUAAAUAUUGGCAAGAGACCGAUAGCGAACAAGUACCGCGAGGGAAAGAUGAAAAGGACUUUGAAAAGAGAGUUAAAAAGUGCUUGAAAUUGCUGGGAGGGAAGCGAAUGGAAGCUGCGGGUGUGCCCCGGUUGGAUGUGGAACGGUUCAGGCUGGUCCGCCGCUCAACGCGGGGCACUGGUCAGCGUGGGCCACCGCGGCGGGACAAGAGCGGGAUGUAGUUUCCUGCCUAUGCCGUUGUGGUGGCCGAGGAACGAAGCGUGCGCCUCUUGUGGCGUGGUAUAAUGAUGCCAACUGCAUGCUCGGGACGCUGGCGUAUUGAGCUCUUCAUCCGACCCGUCUUGAAACACGGACCAAGGAGUCUAACAUGUAUGCGAGCCGGUGGGCGGCAAACCCAUUGAGGCGCAAGUAAACUGACA